GAGGAACAUGUCCGACAUGGACAUGCUCCCGGACGCACGGAUACCCAACCCGGGCCCUACCGUGCUCUUUUCGGCGCGAGGACGCAGACUCACCUCGAAGGCAAAGGGCCACGCUUGGUCUCUGUCCGCAGGCCCGGGGCUGGGGGUUUCGCGACACCCCCACCCCAGGCAAUCGCGGGCCGCGGAGUCGGAGCCGGGGAGCACAGCGUGGAGAGGGCGCGCAGCCCGGGGACCUCUGUGGUGAUCAGCCAGCGCGGCCCAAAGCGGCGAGAGCAGGAGGGAGGGACCGAGGGCGCCCGCAGGAGGCACCGCCCACCUGCCCACCCUGCGCCCUACGCCACCAGGCGGGGACCCGGACCCUGGGGCGGAGCAGGCUGGAGGGCCUGGCCCUGCAACGCAGUGCAGGGUCCCGGACCUCCUACUCUGAGGCUGGGGAAUGGCUGUCUACUGGGGCACUUGAGGGAUAAUGGGAGCUGGGAGUCCCUGUUCGGCGACCUCACCUGGCUGUAAACUCACCUUCUUGUGCGCGCAGGCCGCCGCUCCUGCGGCUCCAGGCAGCCAAGCCCAAUGAUGGGCGGAGGAGGGAAGGAGGAAGGAAGGGAAGUUUUCCCAGCCUCUCAGCUCACGCUUUCGGUCAGCUUCCCACUCUCUGGUGUCCCGGACGCCCUCCGGAUCGCCACUUCGAGCCCUAGUCUAGCUCGGGAGUGUUCCCGUAAGGGGCGCGUUCCCAGCUUGGCAGAAAACUUUCCAGCGAAUCACAGGCUGACUUCUCCCUCCGCCUGGAGCCGGGGAGGGUGAUCUGAACUGAGUGGCGCCUCACCUGGCUGGAAGUUUGCCUGGGAACCCCACGACUCCAGGCACAGAUCUAUGUGCCCUGCCAGCUCUGAAUCUCGACCUGGGUGGCUUCGUGGGUGCGCAGCCAGCUCUUUGAAGUUCAAGGCUUGAGAAGUCCCUGGGCAGCCGGGUGUCAGAGGAUUCGGCUGGGGUUAAAAGGCGCCUCCUACUGGUGUGUGUGUGUGUGUGUGUGUGUGUGUGUGUGUGUGAGAGAGAGAGAGAGAGAGAGAGAGAGAGAGAGAGAGAGAGAGAUUGAAAGUCCGCUUUCUGGAUAAACCGCACAGCUUGGCUGCAGCCAAGUUCACUUGGAAUUCCUGGGUACAUACUUCCCGAGCUGUAUACUUCCGGAGUCCAAUCACACUCUAUACACUGCUACUUCUUAUUUGCACUGAUAGAAAGGGAUUAAUUGGGAAAUGGCUUGUGAUUUGGGAAGUGAAAAGGGCAUUUUUGGAAACAGGUUCGGAGCGCAAGAGUAACUGCUAACAUUUCACGUCCUUACUCUGAACCCGGCCUGGGUGACCCCACCCCCGCCCCGCCCCGCCCCGCCCCCUGAACAUUCUCCCUCAACCUCUCCACCCCGCACAGCCCGGGCCUAUAGUUUGCAUUUCACCCUGACAGACUUGAGGCAGGUCAUUCAGAGAGUCCCAGAGGUGGAAGCAAGGAAUACUGGUACUUUUCCAUGCCGGGAUUCAGCUCUAGACCUGCCCCUACACCGCAUCUAAUCUAGCUGGGCAGGUCGGUCUCUUCCAAGCUGGGAGAGACCAAGGACUUAACAGCCAAAGCUGAGCUGAGAGGAAAACUAAAAGAGUCGCAUCGCACACUGUCCAACCUUCUGCCUUAAUGUGUUUCUUUUUUCUUACCUCUUCCCACCCAGGAGCUGCCUGCCUCCUUAUCCCACCACGCUGCUACCUCACCAGGACCGGAGGGGAGGCCUCAAAAAUGAGAAGAUUCUAUUCUUGGAUCUGCCAGCACUGGGGCUGUCUCUGCAGCCCUGGCUCGGAAUACCCACACCUAGAAUUUCCAAGAGCUGGCAGGAUAAUGGGCGCCCAAAGCUGUUCACAUCUCAAGUCUCCGGAACCCAGGACCUUAGGUGGUAGACUGCAGGUAUGAUCAAGCUGUGAAUCUGGAGAUCAGGGUCACCCAAAGAGGUCACAGGGGCUUUUGUCAGAGGAAGGUAGGAGGGUCGGUCGUAUCUGAGAUGUUGCAGGGGAAGAAGGGGUCAGAGAAAGCUUCUGAAAGGGAUCCUGUGACAGCCAAGGGAUGUUAGCGGCCUAGAAAAGCUGGAAAUGAUAGGAAUAGAUUAUGUGGUAGAAAGCCCAGAAGGGACUUCCCACCUGCUAAGGGUCCUCACACUUGUUACUGAUUUUAGCCUGGGAGAAGCUGCUACCUGACCUCCAAAACUGUAACCUUGUUUCUCUAAGCCCUGCAGCAGUUCCUGGCAAUUUGUUACAGUAGCCACGGGGAAUGGAUACAUCUAGCCUCUCAGCUGUAUAGGCCAAUGCUGAUUUCACCAGCCCUUCUGCUGACAGUCCACUGGAAAGCUCUUCUCUCAAGAGACACCAGGAUAUAGCUUGAUUCACGGAUUUAGAAAGAGGAUAAGAUUUCAUCAGAUCUGUCUUUAUUGUUUUUUUUUUUUUUUUUUUUUUUUGGCUUCUCUGCCAUUUUGAACUGUGUGACCUUGGGAAAAUGUCUUAUUCUCUCUGGGCCUCAGUUUCUUUCUUUAAAUGUAAAAACAGUGAUGCUGGCUAGGUACACAGGAGGCAGAUGCCUAUGGCCCCAGAUACUUCAGAUGCUGAGGCAGGAGGAUGGCACAUUUGAGGUCACCUUGGCAACCUUCUUUUGUUAUCAGUGAGUGUCGAAACGUGGGCCUCAUGUAUGGGAACUGAGUACUUUUCCAUUACACUGCAUCUCCAGACCUAGCUUGAGUAACUUAAUGAAACUCUCUCCAAAAACAACAAACUAAUUAAGUUAAAUAAGUCUUAAAAUAGGGUCUGAAGAUGUAGCUCAGUGGUAGAGUGUUUGCCCUACCUGCGUUUCUUCCCAGCAGGGCAUAAGCCUCAGUGGGGUGGCACACUCUUGAAAUCCUAGCACUAAGGAGGUGGAGGCAGGAGGAUCAGAACUGCAAGUCAUCCUUGUGUAUACAGCUAAAUUUGAGGCCAGCCUGGGCUACGUGUAAUACCCUGUCUCGUAUUGACGAUUACAAUAAUGAAAUGCGUAGCCUACGUGUGGCCCCGGGUCCCAUCCUCAGCACAUCGAGAAGAAGACAGAAUAAAAAUAGUGAUGCUAAGAAUACUCUCCUUUGCAGGAUCAAUAUGAGUAUCAGAGGCAGCAGCAGGAUGCGAUGCUCUGUGUGAGCCCCCAUGACAUCUGAACUGCAGUUGCUGAGACCUGAACUGCCCACUCGGGAACACAGGACUCUUUAGAGCGGGCUUGUCUGAUGGACCAUUCUUGAACUCUGGACACGUGAUGCUUGAAAAUGAGUGUCUAGCGGGGCUUGGUGAUGCACGCAGGUAACCCCAGUGCCUUUGGGAACUGAGGCAGGGGGAUCAGAAGAUCAGGGUCACCCUUUUUGAGGAUAACUUUGUUUGGUACACACACCAAAAAUCAAAAACU
ensembl:antisense Tmem51os1 Tmem51 opposite strand 1